UAAACAGUAUAAUUGUUAAAC
rnacentral:piRNA from 1 species